rnacentral:rRNA from 1 species
AAUGGGCGAAAGCCUGAACCAGCCAUCCCGCGUGCAGGAAGACGGCCCUAUGGGUUGUAAACUGCUUUUCCAGGAGGAGAAACUCUCGUACGUGAUACGGGAUUGACGGUACCCUGGGAAUAAGCAUCGGCUAACUCCGUGCCAGCAGCCGCGGUAAUACGGAGGAUGCGAGCGUUAUCCGGAUUCAUUGGGUUUAAAGGGUGCGUAGGCGGACUAUUAAGUCAGUGGUGAAAUCCUGCAGCUUAACUGCAGAACUGCCGUUGAUACUGAUAGUCUUGAGUUUGGUUAAGGUAGGCGGAAUGUGUAAUGUAGCGGUGAAAUGCUUAGAUAUUACACAGAACACCGAUUGCGUAGGCAGCUUACUGAGCCGACACUGACGCUGAGGCACGAAAGCGUGGGGAUCGAA